CUGUCCACCGUGAGUGACCCUGCUGGUAUAUGAAACAGGGAUGGUGUAGUUUUCAGCAACAUGCAGCUGACACAGGGUGACAACAGACAGGAGGGUGGUGUGGUGCCCUGACCUGAUGGAGAAACAAACCUGAGCUGUGGUGGUGGGAGCACCGAAUCUUAACCACUAGACCCCCAAGGCUGGCUAUGUGACACUUAGUGGAUGCUUAGUAAAUAUUUGUUGAUUUAAUGGAUAAAUGAGAAACGUUUGGUAUGUUUCAGAUUUAAAUGAGUACGACUGUAUGAAGCUUGCCAGAUCUGAGCUAAAAGAAUAUGAUUGGCUUGCCAGUCACACUGCUAGUCUUGGAUUGGGAUUUUGCAUCAUCUAAAGGAUGGUUUCUUCUCAAGAAAAACUUCCGAGCAGAACCAGGCCGCUGUUACAACUGAGAUCAUCCUUCUGUGUGCGUCUAGACGUUUUAUAUGCCAAAGGAGAGUGCUUCCUAUGCAUGUCUGAGCUAUAAAGCUCACCAUCGCUGUCUCCAAACUGUUGUAAAUGCUUUUAGAUAACAAGUUCAACUUCUGAUACUGAUUUACCCAAGCUGUGCAAAUUCUUAGAAGACACUAUUUUAGUUCAGUUUAGUCCUAUGCCAUCCAAACAGAAAUCAAAGGUAUUUGAAAUUACUAAUAUUACUACAGAGGCUACCAUGUUUGUACCUCAGCCUUACAUUUUGCCAGGGACUUUCUUACCCUUGGUUAUGGAAGAAUCUCAGAAAUUCUGCUCAUCUAGAAAAGAUGCAUGGAAUGUCAUGUAGGAGAAGAUGCCUGCAGCAGACAGCGCACUGACAUUCCUUUCUGCGGGGGCCUAGGACUGCCUGUUACUGGGCUGGGGGCUAGCACAUUGUUGAUGCACAGCACUCUGGAGUCCGCAGGCAAACCGGAUGGAGAGUGAGCUUCUAUGCCUAUCACUUAUGCCUUCACUUGUCCUGGAUCCCACAACAAAAGAUGGUAGGGCACCAUAUUGAAACAAAUGAGAUCUGACAAAAACUGCAUGAUAUUUGUCAAUGGAGGAAAGACACAAAUAUUUAUCUAGCACAGUGCACUAUAUGGAAUUCAUGUGUGACAUCUGUGGUGUCACUGAAUCCUUGCUGUGAAUCUGUGAGGUGCACAGUAUCAUUGUUUAUACAGCUAUUCCCCAACAGAGGCUUUCUCCAGGUCUCACAAGAUGUUUUAGAAGUGGGAUUUAUACCUGGGAUGAUUUAACUUCAAAGAUACAACAGGCACAAAAAUAUGAGAAUUUAAAUAAAAUGCGUAUGUGCUGAGAAACUACA
rnacentral:lncRNA from 1 species